rnacentral:rRNA from 1 species
UACGUAGGGAGCAAGCGUUGUCCGGAAUCAUUGGGCGUAAAGCGCGCGUAGGUGGCCCCGUAAGUCCGCUGUGAAAGUCAAAGGCUCAACCUUUGAAAGCCGGUGGAUACUGUGGGGCUAGAGUACGGAAGAGGCGAGUGGAAUUCCUGGUGUAGCGGUGGAAUGCGCAGAUAUCAGGAGGAACACCAAUAGCGAAGGCAGCUCGCUGGGACGUUACUGACACUGAGGCGCGAAAGCGUGGGGAGCGAACAGG